rfam:Astyanax mexicanus Tnplaced_Scaffold4598, whole genome shotgun sequence.
GACAUCUCUAUUUGUAAGUGACUCUGGAUAAGAGUGUCUGCUAAAUGCCAGAAA